rnacentral:rRNA from 1 species
UACGGAGGGGACUAGCGUUGUUCGGAAUUACUGGGCGUAAAGCGCACGUAGGCGGAUUUGUAAGUCAGGGGUGAAAUCCCGAGGCUCAACCUCGGAACUGCCUUUGAUACUGCAAAUCUCGAGUCCGGAAGAGGUGAGUGGAAUUCCUAGUGUAGAGGUGAAAUGCGUAGAUAUCAGGAGGAAUACCCGUGGCGAAGGCGGCUUCCUGGGGCAACCCUGACACUGAGAAGCGAAAGCUAGGGGAGCAAACGGG